GCUUACGGCCACACCGGCCUGAGUACGCCUGAUCUCGUCCGAUCUCGGAAGCUAAGCAGGGUCGGGCCUGGUUAGUACUUUGAUGGGAGACUGCCUGGGAAUACCAGGUGCUGUAAGCU
rnacentral:rRNA from 1 species